GGCCUAACACAUGCAAGUCGAGCGAUCUCUUCGGAGAUAGCGGCGGACGGGUGAGUAACGCGUGGGAACAUACCCAGAGGUACGGAACAACAGUUAGAAAUGACUGCUAAUACCGUAUACGCCCUACGGGGGAAAGAAUUUCGCCUUUGGAUUGGCCCGCGUUGGAUUAGAUAGUUGGUGGGGUAACGGCCUACCAAGUCGACGAUCCAUAGCUGGUUUGAGAGGAUGAUCAGCCACACUGGGACUGAGACACGG
rnacentral:rRNA from 1 species